UACGUAGGUGUCAAGCGUUGUCCGGAUUUAUUGGGCGUAAAGCGCGCGCAGGCGGUCUUUUAAGUCUGAUGUGAAAUCUUGCGGCUCAACCGCAAGCGGUCAUUGGAAACUGGGGGACUUGAGUACAGAAGAGGAAAGCGGAAUUCCACGUGUAGCGGUGAAAUGCGUAGAGAUGUGGAGGAACACCAGUGGCGAAGGCGGCUUUCUGGUCUGUAACUGACGCUGAGGCGCGAAAGCGUGGGGAGCAAACAGG
rnacentral:rRNA from 1 species